AUUGAACGCUGGCGGCAUGCCUUACACAUGCAAGUCGAACGGCAGCACGGGAGCUUGCUCCUGGUGGCGAGUGGCGAACGGGUGAGUACUACAUCGGAACGUACCACGGAGUGGGGGAUAACGUAGCGACAGUUACGCUAAUACCGCACAUUCUGUGAGAAGGAAAGCGGGGGAUCGCAAGACCUCGCGCUCUUGGAGCGGCCGAUGUCGGAUUAGCUAGUUGGUGAGGUACAAACUCACCAAGGCGACGAUCCGUAGAAGGUCUGAGAGGAUGAUCUGCCACACUGGGACUGAGGCACGGCCCAGACUCCUACGGGAGGCAGCAGUGGGGAAUUUUGGACAAUGGGGGCAACCCUGAUCCAGCCAUGCCGCGUGAGUGAAGAAGGCCUUCGGGUUGUAAAGCUCUUUCGGCGGGGAAGAAAUGGCAACGGCUAAUAUCCGUUGUUGAUGACGGUACCCGCAUAAGAAGCACCGGCUAACUACGUGCCAGCCGCCGCCGUAA
rnacentral:rRNA from 1 species